rnacentral:tRNA from 1 species
GGGAAUGAGGCUUAGUGGUAGAGCACUUGCCUAGCAUGCAUGAAGCCCUGGGUUCAAUUCCUCAGUACCA